rnacentral:lncRNA from 1 species
CAGAGAAUGAUACAGUGUCUGAACUUGAACUUUACCAGCUUUACACAUACCUGCCAAUCUGUGCAAUAGACCCCCUUGUAAAUUGUUAGCAGCCAAGAUAGGAAUCCUGCAAUCUAUAAUUUUCCUGACUACCCAAGAAGCACUCUUGGGAGUAGCCAUAGUCUCAAUGUCACUGCUCUUUAUAUAGUAAUAAUGGAUCCACUUGAUCCAUAGGCAAUCCUUUUUCCUUGCCAAGUCCCACAAUAGUUUAGUAAUAGCAGCUUUGUUCCAAAUCUGUAUGUCAAUAAAAUUGAGUCCUCCGGCAGUAACUGGUAUGCAGAUCUUGUCUCAGGCUACCAGUGAUCUUCUGGACACUGUUGCAUUGCCAGUCCAAAG